CGUUCAAGUCGGAGGAUGCUGAUUAAUUCAUGAUGGAAAGGUAUCAAUUUCACAGCCCAGACCUCUACAUUCUUGAAAUGCUCUUCUCAUGGGAGACAUUAAAUAAGCUUUGAAUUAACUAAAAAUAUCCAACCCGAGCAGGAUAAAACUGAUCAUCCUGAGGAUAUUGCCCUUGGAGUUAAUUUUUUGAGAGAAAUAAAACAAUAAACAUCAUAAGACACAAACCCCAAGCAACUGAUCUCACUGUUAAAAUCCAACCUGAGAACAAUGGAAUGGCAUGUACCUCUGGAGUCCUGAGCCACAAAGUAAGAAACUCAGCUACCCUGAUGUUGCCAUGUUAAAGAGACUAUCUGGAAAAGCCACAAAAAGAUAGAGAAAGAUGCUAAAGGGGCCUCUGCUGUUCUGGCCCCCACCUAAUUGAGCCAUCAGACAGCAUGAACCAUCAGAUAUAUGAAUGAACAAGGCUUCAGGUGAUUCCAGUCCCACCUACAAUCUGAUUCAGCCAUAUAGAGACUCCAAAUGAGAACCGCCAAGCUGAACCCAAUCAACUCCAGUACCAUGAGAGAUAAUAAUAAUAAUACCAAGCAUUAUUAUUGUUUUAAGCCACUAAAUUUUGGGAUCAUUUGCUACACAGUUAUAGAUAACCAUAACUAUACCUUCUUCUCUUCAUCAGGGAUAGAAGUAGGACCUUUAAAUGUUUUUACAAUUCUAAAAUAUAGUAAGGAACCUAAGUUGAAGUUGAGGCUGAUGUAGCUGGAUAAGAUUUGAGAUAUAUUUUAGAGUUAUAUUAUCCUCAUGUUGUGCCUCUUUUCCUUCCUCCUUCUGAAAACACAGACGUCUUUGGCAUCGUCUCAGGAGGGGAGAAAUGCUGUAGGACUAAAACCAGAAGAUGUCUUGGCUUUGUUUCCCCACCUAAGCCUUUAGAAAAUCACAUGCAUUUUGUAGAGGUGGAAGAAAGGAAGCAAGGUAACAUGUAAGAAGAAGCAGAGUAGCUUUGAAAAAAAGUAUAAGACAGGAGCAGGGAAACUCCCAGCCACCUCAACUAGAAGAAUAUUUUUAUGGGCUGAGGUUGGAGUGGGAAGCAAGAAGGGAAAGAUCUGAGCAUCGUGCUAACAGAGAAGGCUGUGUGCAUCUCCCUGGCAGCAGCCUAAGCAAGCAGUAAGUUUCCAGAGAAGAAUAGUAUGUCUGGAGAGUGGGAUUCUGGGAGGUCUUGACAUAGUGUCCUGUGUCCCAAACACAACAUGACAUUGUCGACUGAGAUUUUUUUUCCUUUCAUAUGAGCAAAAUAACUUUGCUGCAGAAAAAAACUAGGAGUCAGCACCACUGAUGGAUCAAUGAGGCACAAGCUGCAGUGACAAGGGGAGGUCCUACUUUGUGAGGCUUAUGGGGCUAUGGACCUCAACAAGAGGGAAAGGCAGGGCAGAAAAACUUGAAGAGGUUUAAGUGUUCAUAUGAAACUUUCCCAAGGAUGUUCAGAAAUAUUUAGAUGAAAUUUUUAAGGUACUGGAGUUUUUAAGUAAUACACACUGAGAAAGAUAUCAGGGAUGUCUUAUAUUUACUGUGAAAGUGAACUGUAUUAUCUUUAGAAUGAGAAAGUCUGGGAAAACUCAGGUUCCAAAUCAGUUCUUUGGAGUCCAGAAUAAGCAUUCUAAAAUGAUUCUGUGAUCUAAUUGGCAAUAACUAAACCUCUGAUAGACCACUGUGCAAAUCUAAUUCUAUGAUUCUUGGUAAUUGUAAAAUUAAGUUUACUCAGAAAGCUUCAUUUCCUUCUAUUUCUUAAACAAUAAUCUAAAUAAAUACUGCCUUUUAAGAUUAAUCUCUUUUUCCCUCAUGUGCCUAUAGAAGUGUGAUUGUUUCUCUGUAGUAGCAAUUAUCUUGUUCCAAUUUGGGUUAUUCUGUUAUUUGUGGUAGUCUCCCCAUGAGAAUGUGAGCUCCUGAAAGGCAGUAACUUUGUCCUGUUCAUUAAGGGACUCCCACAAUUUCUCUUACAAAACUCUACAUGUAAUAUUUCAUUUAUUGAAAACAUAUUUAUAGAACACCUGUGUUGUGCCCAGGACUGUGCUCAAUAAAUGGUUCAAGGAAUUGAAAAUAAAAAGCUUCUCAUGUGAGGUAACAAAGCUAUUAACACAGCUAAGAAAUGUCUUCAACAAUAUAUUUAAAAGAAAAAGGUAGCAAUAAAAGUCCAUCUGCUUUGUAAACAAUUUAUUUUGGACAUUUUCCUCUAUAUCUGUAAGAGAUAUGGCCCCAAAGUUUUCAGUUUUUGUGCUAACUUUGUCUGGUAUUUGUAUACAGGUUAUAAGAGCUUUGUACAUUGUAUUGAAAUCAUAGCAUAUGGUUCUAUGAUCCGCAAUAAUCUUAAUACCAUUGGAAUCUCUUCUUUUAAGUUUAGUAGAAUUUAUCUAUAAAACUGUCUGGGUUCAACAUGUAAGAGUUUGAAAGCCACCAUUCCCAUCUUUGCAAAAACAAAAAUAAAAUUGAGCAAACUGAAUAUCAACAACUCCUCUUACAUCCAUCAGAAAAUUGAGGUCACAGGACAAAUCAUUACCUUAAAAACUAGAGAGACAGGUAGGCACAUGCAGAAAUCAUAGUGUACUAGGAGCAGAACCUGCUGAAGCCAGCAACUGGUAGAAGCACAUAAAUGGAAACUAAUUGUGAGAAAAAAACUCAAACUCCGAAUAAAUUUCUACACACCAACAUAACUAACUGCCACAUCAACAAGUCUCCUUUAUAAUAACAGGAAAUUACAGCUAAAGGAACUGCAAGCCUCCAAUUCUAUUUAAGAAGGUGUCUCUAGAGAAAGCCAAAGACAACAUGAGAGAUGAAAACAAGAAAACAGAAAAUUUUAAUAUCUGACACCUACAGCAAACAGUAAACAGAACCCAACCUCACACUAAAUACCUAUUUACCUCAGUUUCUUUUACUUAACACAUCAUGUUCAGAUUUUUAAAAAAAAAUGAAAAGGAAUGAUAAAAGGCAAAAAGCACAGUUUAAAGAGACAAAGCAAGGUCAAGGUCAUACUUUUAGAUAUGGCAGAGACUUUGGAAUUAUCAAACUGGAAAUUUAAAAUAACUAUUAUUACUAUGCUAAGGGCUCCAGUGGAAAAUACUCUCUGGUGGACAACAUAGAAAAUCAGAUGAGUAAUAAGCAGAGAGAUGAAAACUGCAAAAAUUAAUUCUCCCUAAGAAAGAAAAUGCUAAAACCUUCGCGCCUGUAAUCCAGCACUUUGGGAGGCUGAGGCAGGUGGAUCACGAAGUCAAGAGAUUGAGACAAUCCUGACCACCAUGGAGAAACCACGUCUCUACUAAAAAUACAAAAAUUAGCUGGGCAUGGUGGUGCACACCUGUAAUUCCAGCUACUCAGGAGGCUGAGGCAGGAGAAUCACUUGAACCCAGGA
rnacentral:lncRNA from 1 species